rnacentral:rRNA from 1 species
GACGAACGCUGGCGGCGUGCUUAACACAUGCAAGUCGAACGGAAAGGACCUGCUUUUGUGGGGUGCUCGAGUGGCGAACGGGUGAGUAACACGUGAGUAACCUGCCCAUGACUUUGGGAUAACUCCAGGAAACUGGGGACAAUACCGGAUAGGAGCUCCUGCUGCAUGGUGGGGGUUGGAAAGUUUCGGCGGUUGGGGAUGGACUCGCGGCUUAUCAGCCUGUUGGUGGGGUAGUGGCUUACCAAGGCUUUGACGGGUAGCCGGCCUGAGAGGGUGACCGGCCACAUUGGGACUGAGAUACGGCCCAGACUCCUACGGGAGGCAGCAGUGUGGAAUAUUGCACAAUGGGCGGAAGCCUGGUGCAGCAACGCCGCGUGCGGGAUGACGGCCUUCGGGUUGUAAACCGAUUUCGCCUGUGACGAAGCGUGAGUGACGGUAAUGGGUAAAGAAGCACCGGCUAACUACGUG